GAAACUUGCUACAAUGGCAGAACACAUUUGCCACUGUUAACCCAUCAAGUUUCAAAAUGUUUCAUUUAUCCACUGAGUUUUAAGGAAUUUUCAAAGUUUUUAUAAACAACAUUUUAGAAAAAAACUACAAGAGCUAUCUCCUUGAACUUUCUAUAUAAUGACACAAGAUAACAGGGGAUUAUUUUCCCCAAAUUUUCAGAAAUAUUUAUGCAUCUACUGGGAAUUUUUAAAAAAAGUUUUGACAAAAAUGUUUUUUUUUAAAGCCACAACAGCCAUCUCAUUGAAUGUCUCUCAUAUUAACCAAUUGAACUCUCAUUUAAGGAUUUCUUCCCAGCCCAGCACAGAGAUCUACGUACGUACUCUGUGUAAGUCCUCCUCUUUGCAGAUUCAGCAAUUUAUUGGAACUCUGGCUGGCUGCUGCUACAGAGAGACAAAUCUCUCCCCUAUCCUGAUUGAGGCUUUCGAAUGCUGAGCAGAAUUCUGGGAAAUGUAGUUUAGGGCAGGGCCUUUUGGAUUCUUUGAAAUAAGGCUCCUCGUCUUCCCAAACUACAAUUCCCAGAAUUCUGUGAUAUCCCAGUCUCUUUCCCAGCGAACUGUGCUUUAUCCCUGCUGCUUCCCUCUCCUAAUGGUGAGAGGCUAUUAAUCUAAAGAGGAAUGGCAGCCGUUUUUACUUUGCUUUGCUUGCUUGCACUGAUUUUGGGAGUGUUCCAAGGUUUACAAAAAAAGUAUUGGGUUUGUUGAACUGGUUUAAAAUUACAGAAUUAAAUGCCAUUGAUUUCAAGGAGGGAAAAUUCACUGAAGCUGGAGAUAAUGAGCAACUCAUGGACCAGGAUAUUCCUUAUGGCAUUUUCAAAAUAACUCGAGCAGAUAAGAGUGAUAUUCUACUCAUGGCUAAAGAGAACAGAUCGCUAUACAAUGCUGAAGGCCGACCCAAUGUCUAGAGGUCCACAUGUUCUCUGAGGAAGAAGUUAAAUAAUUUAAAAGAAAUGGGCACACUACAGAAGAAAUUUUGCUGCCUGAGGCAGAAUCGUAAAUGAAACCCUGCCAGCACACACUGGGAAGAAACAUAUCUUAUUUGAGUUUCCAGUAUUUGUAACUGUAGUCUUUUUUUUUCCAACCCUGGAUUAUUUGCAGCAAUUCUUGACAACAGGAACAACUUUUUAUUCCCAUGUCGUGACUUUUAAAAAUGAAUAAAAUAAAUCAGAGGCAUGUUACAUAAUAAACUCCCAAAGGUCAUGGUGUGUAUAUAUGUGUUGUGGUUCAUGAUUAAUGUUUUGGACAGUUCUCUAAAGAUGUGCCUUAUGUAGUAUCCUGAAUUCUUUGCAUAAUGAACAAUUUUGUGGUAGUAGGUGAGAAAAAGCAAAAACAAUUAUUCCUUCCUUGUCAUUUCCUCCUUUACAGUAAAAUUGGAAUUAUGGCACCUUAGUGAAUAACACUUAUGCUUUAAAGAACUGUUUUGUCAUUUCAUUGCAAUACUAGUGGGCAUCCAAGAAAUUGCUCUAUCUAGCAAUAAACAUUAUCCCUCACCCUAUUAACAGAAACUGGAAAGGAACAAGUGGAUGUGAAAGCGACUAAAAUUGGUACAGUAGAGUCUCACUAAUCCAAGCCUCGCUUAUCCAAGCCUCUGGAUAAUCCAAGCCAUUUUUGUAGUCAAUGUUUUCAAUAUAUCAUGAUAUUUUGGUGCUAAAUUCGUAAAUACAGUAAUUACAUCAUAACAUUACUGCAUAUUGAACUACCUUUUCUGUCCAAUUUGUUGUAUAACAUGAUGUUUUGGUGCUUAAUUUGUAAAAUCAUAACCUAAUUUGAUGUUUAAUAGGCUUUUCCUUAAUCCCUCCUUAUUAUCCAAGAUAUUCGCUUAUCCAAGCUUCUGCCGGCCUGUUUAGCUUGGAUAAGUGAGACUCUACUGUAACUGUAAAAAAGAAGAAAGAGCUGUAUUCUGAUUGUUCACACAUCUUUAUACCAGUCUGAAAGAGGCUUCAGUCAAAUACAUGGCUCACAAGGCCUGCCAGGUUUUUGUGUUUGGUGCCCAAGGCCUCCUUGGUUUUGUUUUGUUGCUAUCAAGGGAGAGAUUUCCGCAAGAGCCUCUUCCCCUCUCUUGCAGGACAUGAAAUGAAAUAUUCGGGAUUGACAAUUUGUUGAUUCCUUAAAAUAACCCAAACCUAACAUCUGAGGUAUCUGUCUCAUUCUUUUGCAUAAUCAGUCCUGACAAGACUACAUGCCAAUAUAUUGCUCUUCUAUGCAUGUCCCCCACUAUCAUAAUCUCAUAUUAUAUACCAAAUAGCAACAUUUUUAUAUUCAGUUUUUCUUGGCACAUGAUGCUCUAAAUAUGUCAUAUUCAGAGGUUGUUUAUUUUAUUCCAUCUGUGGAGGACAGACAAAAUCCACUUGCAUAAUAUACUGUGAAGCAUGGGGUUAAAAUAUAUGUCGUCAUGGACAAUAUAAACUGUGAAAUAGAAUUUUAUAUCUUUGGCUUGUUUUAGGUUAGAUAACCUUCUCAACCCUAUUUAGUGGUAGAUACUAAAGUUCACAGAAUAGCUGUGAGUAGUUUGUAAAUUGUUGAGUCAAUCCAAGGUUAAGUUGUCAUUUGACCAAGAAAAAGAAGCCCAAUUGAUAUGAACAUUAUGACAUAGUCAGGCGAUUUGAACUCAGAUUACUGAGAUGUCUGAUAUUGAUCAUUUCUUAUUCAAGAAUCCUUUCUUUCGUGGUGUUUCUAAACUCAGCUCGACUGGCUCUGAAAGCAAAACUACCCAGCCCACCUAAAAUGUUUCUUUUCAUCUUUGAAUCAAUUUGCCUUCCACAAAGAUAGAUGCCUAUAAUCACCACAUUCUCAGAAUGUCAGUUAUUGACCAUGAUUCUUCAGCAGUUAUUUUGAAAAAGUCAAGAAGAAAGACCAUUAAACCAUUUCAGUUUUUUAAAAGCCUAUCUAUCUGUCUAUAUCAAUAAUAGACACAGAGAAAUGUAAAUGAAGUGUUAGGGGCAGGAAAAGAAGAGGUAAAAGCAUAAUAUACCAUGAAACUGGUAAUAAAAUACUCAACAAAUAGGAAUGAACACGCUUUGACAAUUCAGUGUUUCAUUCAUCUUCUCAUACUAUAAUUUUAGGUAUUUGUCUGUUCCUCUUUUAUGUUGCACAAAUCCACAGACUUUAUCAUAGCAUCACAGUAUGUUAUCCAGUAGUAUCAAAACAAAAACAAGAAAUACUGUUAUAAGGUUUUGGAAUGCAUCUCUUAACUGAAUUAAUUUUAUAUGUUUUUAACUAUAUCUUUUUAAGUUGUUUGCAGAUUUGUGUCCUAAAUCUGAAAAAGUGGGCUAACAAUAAUAAUACACUCUUUUGGGUUAUCUAGCAAUCAUGCAUGCAUUUUCAAUGUGGGAUGGUUUAUGUAGUUAGUUUUGUUUGUUGCUUAGUAACCCGAAGCCAAAGCUGCAUUCCAGAGUUGAUGGCACCAUUUUAGGGGUUUUGCAUGUGAUGUGGGAAAUGGGAGUAUACUUCCUGGAGACAUACAGGAAAUUACAUAUGCUUUUAGAAUUUGGGGCAUAAAAGAGGAGACUCUCUUUUGUUCUCUCUCUUCGUCUCUUCAUGCUCUUCCCGCUUCUUGAUCCUGCCAUGUCUGAUGUUACUUCUUGUUAAGAGAUAUGUAGUAUCCUGAACUGUAUUCUUUUGGAAUUAAGAUGUUUUUACCUGUAUGACCAUCAUAUACAAGAUUGUGAGUAAACAUAUUUUUACUAUUUUA